rnacentral:rRNA from 1 species
CCCGAAACCGAGUGACCUAUCCAUGGCCAGGAUGAAGCGGAAGUAAAAUUCCGUGGAGGUCCGAACCACGUUGGUGUUGAAAACCCAUGGGAUGAGCUGUGGAUAGCGGAGAAAUUCCAAUCGAACUCGGAGAUAGCUGGUUCUCCUCGAAAUAGCUUUAGGGCUAGCGUCGGGUAAUUGAGUAGUGGAGGUAGAGCACUGAAUGGGCUAGGGGCUGACAACAGUUACUGAACCCUAUCAAACUCCGAAUGCCAUAUACUUGUACCCCGGCAGUCAGACUACGAAUGAUAAGAUCCGUGGUCAAAAGGGAAACAGCCCAGACCAUCAGCUAAGGUCCCAAAGUGUAAGUUAAGUGGGAAAGGAUGUGGGAUUUCUAAGACAACUAGGAUGUUGGCUUAGAAGCAGCCACUCAUUUAAAGAGUGCGUAAUAGCUCACUAGUCGAGAGAUCCUGCGCCGAAGAUGUAACGGGGCUCAAACUUACCACCGAAGCUAUGGAUGUGUACUUUGUACACGUGGUAGAGGAGCUUUCUGUACAGGUUGAAGUCAUACCGUAAGGAGUGGUGGACAGUACAGAAGUGAGAAUGCUGGCAUAAGUAGCGAAAAACAAGUGAGAAUCUUGUUGACCGAAUAUCUAAGGUUUCCUGGGGAAGGCUCGUCCUCCCAGGGUUAGUCGGGACCUAAGCCGAGGCCGA